AGAGUUUGAUCAUGGCUCAGAUUGAACGCUGGCGGCAGGCUUAACACAUGCAAGUCGAACGGUAACAGAACUAGCUUGCUAGUUGCUGACGAGUGGCGGACGGGUGAGUAACGCGUAGGAAUCUACCGAAUAGUGGGGGACAACAGUUGGAAACGGCUGCUAAUACCGCAUACGCCCUACGGGGGAAAGGAGGGGAUCUCCGGACCUUUCGCUAUGUGAUGAGCCUGCGUGAGAUUAGUUAGUUGGUGGGGUAAUGGCUCACCAAGGCGACGAUCUCUAGCUGGUCUGAGAGGAUGAUCAGCCACACUGGGACUGAGACACGGCCCAGACUCCUACGGGAGGCAGCAGUGGGGAAUAUUGCACAAUGGGGGAAACCCUGAUGCAGCCAUGCCGCGUGUGUGAAGAAGGCCUUCGGGUUGUAAAGCACUUUCAGUUGUGA
rnacentral:rRNA from 1 species